rnacentral:rRNA from 1 species
UACGUAGGGGGCGAGCGUUGUCCGGAAUCAUUGGGCGUAAAGAGCUCGUAGGCGGUUUGUCGCGUCUGCCGUGAAAGUCCGGGGCUCAACUCCGGAUCUGCGGUGGGUACGGGCAGACUAGAGUGAUGUAGGGGAGACUGGAAUUCCUGGUGUAGUGGUGAAAUGCGUAGAUAUCGGGAGGAACACCAGUGGCGAAGGCGACUACCUGGCCUGUUCUUGACGCUGAGGCGCGAAAGCUAGGGGAGCAAACGGG